rnacentral:lncRNA from 1 species
GGGGAAGGAUGUGGCAAAGGAUACAGCAACAGGGAUGGCGGGGGAGACGGAGGCGGCUUGGAAGCGGUGGGAGCGACAAUGGCGAGCUUUGUGUCCUGAGCACAAACACAGAAGGCCUAAUUCAGAAUCAGGGUUUUUUUAAAAAAAAUUCGAAUCGUGAUUAUUAAUAGCGAUCCAAUUUAGGGGGUGUAAAAUAUGGAUCGUGAUUAUUAAUUGCGAUCUAUUUUAGAAGGUUUUAUAAAAAUAUCCAGGGGUGCAUAUGUAAAAUAUUUAUCGCCGACCUCGCCGUCCCGGUCCCCUUCCGCCGCGAUCGCCAUGACGGCCCUCAACGCCGGCGGCUUCGAUGGGGACAACGACUAUUCGCCGCGGACAGGCUCCACUCAUAGCUGAAUACCUCCCUCGCCGUGGCCUUAUCCACUAAAACCGCCUCCCCGGUACAGCCCCCGCCGUCGCGGGCUCGUCAUCGCCGCCGCCUCUACCUGCUCAAACCUUAGUCCUCCUCUCUGAUCUACUCCUCGUUUCCCUUACAAGCCAAGGACCGAAGGGCGAUAUCCUCCGCCUCCGCGAGGAGCUCAGGCUCAUACAAGAUUCGAAGGUGGACAACUCCCAUUGCCCGAUUCGUGUGAUAUGAGCUGAGAUGGGGGCACGGGGCGCGUCUUGGCGAUGGUGAUCUGCACGUUGAAUCGCAGGAUCUUCUUUCCGCAGGAGUUAGGGGAUUGGAGGGGUCUUCGCCGCUGCUAAACAACUCCGUGACGUCGGAUCUCUUGCUCGUCAGCGUCGGCCAGAGGACUCCAUGAGCACCGUUUCUUGGUGCCCAUGUCUAGUCGCGGCCUCACCAAUCACACACCAAAUUAAAUCACACUCGACAAUGCAACCUUUACACACACAUACAGUCACAGAUCUCUCUUGCACCAAUCACAGAUCGAAAGAACCUUUUGCCCUCGUGACAAGAGGAGAAAAACACAGACUUAUGUUCUCAAGUAGUACGGAGAUUUUUUUUUCUUUUUCAGAAUGAGAAAAUCUGAAGACAAUCGAAUAGCCAAGAAUUAGACUUGCCUAUAGCUUGCUGCAACAAUACAUCGGCUAGCUCUUGCCUCUCUUGUAACAACUCACUGCACCAUCUUCUGGUUCUGCAGCGGUGGCCUCCAUGCAAGACGGUUCCCGUCGGCGGCAGCGAUGAUGAUCUUGGCACCUGUCCAACGACGCCGGAGCUGACAGCGCCGAUGCCAUUGACCAGGAUCAGCGAACAGGCGCAGAGGGAGUCUUCACUCUUCAGAGAACUUGGGAUAGAGAGCAGGUGGUGGCCUCUUUCUCGCUUUCCUCAAGUGUCGCGCGCUCUCAAGCCAGAGGGAGAGGAGCAAGUGAGGGUUACACAUCACUGCUGCAAUUUAAGGGCAACACAUCACAUCAUCUACUGUAACUAAAUCAGGUAUUCGGUCCUGACAUUUCUGUCAACAUGAAUGCAGUCAUGUUGUUUAAGAGCAAUAAUGGAUGGAGAGGGC